AUCAAUAAGCGGAGGAAAAGAAACUAACAAGGAUUCCCCUAGUAACGGCGAGCGAAGCGGGAAGAGCCCAGCACCGAAUCCCCUGCCUCGCAGGUAGCGGGAACUGUGGUGUUUAGGACAGCCUAUGGGGUGGUGUUCGGACGUCCGAGUCCUCCUGAUCGGGGCCUUUCCCAUAGCGGGUGUCAGGCCUCUACUGGCGACCGUCGCCUCCCCUCUGUGCGUCCUUGGAGUCGGGUUGUUUGGGAAUGCAGCCCAAAGUGGGUGGUAAACUCCAUCUAAGGCUAAAUACUGACACGAGACCGAUAGC
rnacentral:rRNA from 1 species